rnacentral:rRNA from 1 species
AUUGAACGCUGGCGGCAGGCCUAACACAUGCAAGUCGAGCGAGCGGCGGACGGGUGAGUAAUGUAUGGGGACUGCCCGAUAGAGGGGGAUAACCACUGGACACUGGGGCUAAUACCGCAUACUAUAGGAUAACCCAUAUGGGAUUAGAUAGUAGGUGGGGUAACGGCUCACCUAGGCGACGAUCUAUAGCUGGUCUGAGAGGAUGAGCAGCCACACUGGGACUGAGACACGGCCCAGACUCCUACGGAGGCAGCAGUGGGGAAUAUUGCACAAUGGGCGCAAGCCUGAUGCAGCCAUGCCGCGUGUAUGAAGAAGGCCUUAGGGUUGUAAAGUACGUUCAGCGGGGAGGCGUUACCCGCAGAAGAAGCACCGGCUAACUCCGUGCCAGCCGCCGCGGUAAUUG